GGUGCAGCCCCGCCCCCGCCCGGCAGGAAGUGCGCUGUCGGCCUCUGCGUCUGUCCUCCCAGUGUCCAACGUUGCCUCGCGGAGGCCGCCGUGCGGAGCAAAUGUCUAACGGAAAUCAGAGGUGGAAAAGAGGUUGGAGGAGCCUGCUCCGUUCCACUCGCUUUUACUGAUGCGCCCACCAGCAGCCACGCUUGGGGCUGGCGGCUUUGAGGACACGCACGUGAACUCAUCCUUAUGGAUUCAGAAGACAAAGAAUACAAGCAAGCAGGAGAAAGUCUAAGAAGAAAGUUCACCUGGUAUGUUCCACCAAAAAGAAAGAAAAAAAUCUAUAUGGUGAGUGUAUGUUGCAUUAUCAAGGAUAUUCCUGAUAGAAGAGAACUUACAGUUUUGUUAGUCAUCGGUGAGUAGUGAUUCAUUCAUUUACAACUAUAUAACUUUGACAACGGGAAGAAUUUUUUACAGACUAGCUCCUGGCUCUAUGUUUCAAACUUUGUUUCUUCUCUGGUACUCUCAUUCAUCUGGUGCCAGUGCCUCAAGGCACAUUUAUUUCAUGAUGUGACCUCUGGCCCUGCAUCUUCAUAGAAGCAUACCUACACCAGGAUGUCUAGCAGUAACUUAUCUAUGCACAGAAGUGACAGCAAACCUUGUAAAUACAUCCUGCUAAACUCAAAUAAAUGUAUCCGAGCUCAACUUUCAAACGGCAGCCACUGCAAGGCCAUAAAACCCAAGGGCAAGAGUAAGGGAAGGGGAAUUUGGACUGGAGCGGUACAGUUGUCCUUAUCUGGCUGCCAUUAAAAUAACUUACUUUGUCAAGUUUCAACCCUGUGAGCACAUUGCUAAGGCUUCUCCCAGGGCCAGGGGAAAUGGGACUCACAAGUUCAAGCAAAAAACGCCCUGAAAUGUAAGCUUCAGCUUCAGAGGCAACCAGCCUCCACAUCCACUGCUAGUGAGAAUACUGAGAAACAGGUACUCUCAAACGGUGUUGGCAAAAACAUGAAGUGCUAUCAAAAUAAAAGCUCUAGACUUUGGGAGGCCAAGGUGGGCAGAUUGCUUGAGCCCAGGAGUUUAAGACCAGUGUAGGCAACA